GCGUGAGCUCCUCGCCUGGCCCUGGGUAGUGCACCUGUUGCCUUCCAGGUUGCCCGUCAGGUUCCGAGGCCCACCGGGGACAACCCCAUUGCCCUGGGAAGCUCUCUCUGGAGUCGUCACGCCACAAUCCUGAUGAAGCUCGUGGUAAAAACGCCUACGUGGGUGAGAACCUAAGCCCAAGUGAGCUCCCAACUAGCACCUGCUACAGCUGGAUGAGUGAGGCCACUUUGGACCUUCCGGCCAUCUCAACACCCAAGCCAACACCGUGGGAAGCAGAAGAACCUUCCAGUCAGUCAACAGAAUUGUAAGAAAAUAGGCUCUCCUAAGAGUCUCGAAGGUGCAAAAAUGGACAUGUUUUUGGACAAACCUUGUGGUGGGUGUUACAAGAGGCACCACUCACAUAAGGAGUGUCUUGAUCAACUCCACGGUGCACACUAAGCAGGCUCUGUGAACCUCCCGCCUUUCUUCUCCCCCAAGUAGAGCUGCUGACCUAGUUCCCGGCUACUGAGAUCCUGACUAAUUGUCAUCCCUUGCAAGCAGACCUUCACUGAACCUUAGGAGCAGAAAAUUCAGAAACAAAAGCAAGAAAUAAAAGAGCUGUCAGAAAGAAUCUACAUAGAACCCUGAAGUUGUGCUUUCAUAACUGAAUAAAUAACUCCUUGAGCAAUAAUUUGUUUGCAAGCUGUUAAUUAGCAGCAUAAUUAAUUUCUGCAGAUUAUAAAUAACAGAGCACAAAGUGGCAUUCCCAGUAGAGCCAAUGAAAAAUUACCUAAACCAUUUUAAGAACCAAAAAUAGUUCACAACGUAACAGAUUUAAAGGGGCUCUAGAAUCCGGGUGGUGCCAUUUUCUUUUUCCUCUGGGUUAAAAAGAAAGAAAGAAAAAAAAUUCCCCAGAAAACUCAAC
rnacentral:lncRNA from 1 species